UGGCACCUGGCCCCUUAGGAUCCUAACCUUGUGUUGGGGGGGUCUCGGGAAGCAUGCUAUGGUGGGCAAGGAAGGCUCCACCUCUCACCAGCUGUGAAGUCUUGGGCUGAGCCUCAGUCUCCUUAUGCACAAAAUGUGAGCAAUAAGACUUACCCUCUUAGGUCAUAGAGGGGAAAAAUGAAAAAACCAAGAGAGAUUGAUAGAGCUGGCAUAUAGCAGAUGCUCAAAAAAUGCUAAUUUCUUUCCGUCCCUUUUUUCCCUUCCAUAUAUUCCUACAGAUCAGGCUUGUUUUCACUCCCUGCCCCAUCACUGACCUGCCAAGCCCUCCUCCCUGUGUGAUUUGGCCAAGCCCAGCAGGGAGAGAAGGAAGCUAACAUUUCUGUGUGCCAAGCCCCUUGCUAAGGUCACAAACCGCUCAUUUAUUCUUCUAGAGAACCCAUCACUCAGAUUGGCAGAUAGAGGCUUGAUGAGCUGGGGAGUGUCAGAAGCAGCGUGGUCCAGCCCAAAAGUCUCUCUCUCUCUCCAGUUCACCUACGACUUCAAGGUCCAACCAUCUUGGGCCAGAGAGAGGCCAGUGGGAACCCGUGGCAACUCCUUCCAAGGCCUCUUGCCCUAGAGUCCAGGUACUUUCAUGAGAAAUUCCUAGGCAGAGGCCUCAGGAGUGCUGUUCAGUGAAGGGAUUUCCAUCCUUAUGACUGGGCCUGUGGUGGGAAGGAUGGUGGAAUGGGGCGAGGAAGGAACCUGCUAGAGUUUCUUGUGUAAGGAAGUAUUAAUAAUUGGUUCCUUCUCCCUCCCUCUCCCCUACCCACAAAUACAAUAAAAGCACUCAAAGGAACUUCAGUUUCAAAUAGAAAAUUAAAAGGCAAAGAAGAUGGAGGAAGUCAGACCUUUCAUGAGACAAGUGAUCUUACUUAGUUCUGAGUUCCUUUGUAGGCUAGGAAAAAAGAGAAAGAGGAUUGGUUAUAGUUCUUGCUGCGAAAGAAAGGGAGUCAGGCAGAUCCUCAGGAGAGAGACAAAGGAUUUAUUUCCUGGUACUGAAUUCUAAGAAAAGGCUCCUACUCAAGCUUCGGGAAGGGGACAUGGGCUCCACCUGACCCUAGAUGAUAGUUUAACGAGGAACAGUUUUCAUAUGACGAUCCCUUCGAAUAGCCUUCAGAAGGCACUGGGGGCUUAACUCAGAUAUCAUUAGCUCAAUGAAGGCCACUGGGGUGGGAGAAGAUGCAGGGGUACAUGCCUUUGGAUCACUGAUCUGGGAUCUCACCUUCAGGCCUGGCUGGGGCUCCCUCCCCCGCCCAGCAUGGCCAGGCCUGAGGGCGCAAGGAGCCAAUGAAAAGAGGAAUAAGAUGGUGACACUCACCCACUGUGGGUCACUCUGGAGGUCAGAUGGGUUGAUGUCAGCAGAGUGCCAAACACACAAUGAGUGCCUAUGAAUGGCAGCACAUCUUGCGUGUGAACUGGGGGAGGAGGCUAAUGGAUCCAAGGUCAAGGAGUUAGGGAGGGAGCUCCCUCUCCAGGAGCCCACACCAUGGGGUCCCAGGCGAAGCAUGCUUGGAAGGUGGCAUCUGCAGACCUAUCCGAUUGCUCAGCCUGCAGGCUCAGCUGCCCCUGCUUCCAGGGUUGGGGCAGUCUGACUGGGGCCCCACCCGCAGCCACCACCCCCAGACUCCUAACUAGUGCCCAGGACAGGUCUUGCUUCUUUAGUAAGAUCAGGCAUCAAGGAGGGACUUCCGGACUGUCCUGUCCUCCUCCUUGAGGAGCCCACAGGGCCAAAGCCCUACCCUGGUCACCCAUCAUGGAGGGGCCUAGUGGAACUCAGAGCCUGGGGUGUCAUCUGAUCCAGGAGCUCACAUUCAAGCUUAGCUGGGGCUCCCCCCACCUCCAGAUCCCUUUCAGCUGGAAAUUCUAUCAGUCCCAGGAGGCCUUGUUCAUGGCCCCAGCUCACCAGGUAUCAAAGGAAGAAAGUCACAAAACCAGCACAAGUAGGGCCCUUAGAAGAGGCCAUCUCUGGGGGAGAUGGCACUGGAGGCAGCUGGGCCUGUCCAGGAAGG